rnacentral:rRNA from 1 species
AUACGGAGGGUGCGAGCGUUAAUCGGAAUUACUGGGCGUAAAGCGCGCGUAGGCGGUUGUUUAAGUCGGAUGUGAAAGCCCCGGGCUCAACCUGGGAACUGCAUUCGAUACUGGGCAACUAGAGUAUGAGAGAGGGAGGUAGAAUUCCAUGUGUAGCGGUGAAAUGCGUAGAUAUAUGGAGGAAUACCAGUGGCGAAGGCGGCCUCCUGGCUCAAUACUGACGCUGAGGUGCGAAAGCGUGGGGAGCAAACAGAAGUAGAAACCCCGGUAGUCC